GCGUUGAGGAAGCUGAGUGUCAAAGAGCAUAUGACUUGGCUGCUGAAAUGUAUAUGACUUCUUUUGAUCGUUCUAAGCCACCGGAGGAAGCUGCACUAAGAGAAGCACAUGAAGAUGCUAUCCAGAAGUCCAUGUCUGCAUUUAAUUCUACGGCUGUAGGGGCUGGAUCCAUCAGAACCAAAUAUGAGAAACGUCUCCAACAUUUCAUAAAGAAAGCAUUUGAGGACAUUAGAAAGGAUGC
rnacentral:misc_RNA from 1 species